rnacentral:rRNA from 1 species
GAAGUGUUCGGAUCGCUGUGACGUAGGUGGUUCGCUGCCCGCGACUCUGCGAGAAGUCCAUUGAACCUUAUCAUUUAGAGGAAGGAGAAGUCGUAACAAGGUUUCCGUAGGUGAACCUGCGGAAGGAUCAUUG